AACUGAUACUACCUGCGGGAACCUGCGGAGGGAUCAUUACCGAGUUUACAACUCCCAAACCCAAUGUGAACGUUACCAAACUGUUGCCUCGGCGGGAUCUCUGCCCCGGGUGCGUCGCAGCCCCGGACCAAGGCGCCCGCCGGAGGACCAACCAAAACUCUUUUGUAUACCCCCUCGCGGGUUUUUUAUAUCUAAGCCAUCUCGGCGCCUCUCGUAGGCGUUUCGAAAAUGAAUCAAAAC
rnacentral:misc_RNA from 1 species